GGCAGCCCCAAAGCAAGUAAAUGCUUUGUAUUCCCCGGAUACCCUGACUCUAGGUCCUGUUCCGAACGAAGUGGCGCCUAAGUGAAUUAAGUUGGGAGCUAUGAAUUUCUCCAAUUCCAUCCCGAUUUGCAUGACCACAUGAGAAGAUAAAUCUAGGCCUUGAGUUAAAGCCCCUAUCAUACUGACUGCAAUUUUCAAUAUCCAGGUCCUCUCUUCUAUGCGAGUGAGCUUUCCUUCAAUUUCGAUUCCAUCAAGUUCAUCCACAAAUAAUAAUUUGGAUAUGCUUUUAGUAUCCUUUUACUCAUUAGUGACAGGCAGGGUACAGUGUAGAUGCAUUUUGAUUGGUCAAAUAAUGGUGAAACGGAAAAGGACUGAAGAUGUGUUCACUAAUGUAGGUUUGCAACAAGGUAUGGGCACAAAUUGUUGGCAAAACCGACAGAUUGCCAUAAACUAAAGUUGAACAAGGUAAUACAGUAUUUCUACAGAAUUAUUCUAAAUGUUGCUACGAAAUUGGUAAUAGCUUCACAAAAUCAUUGCCUCGAUAGCCUUGGUCUGUGGUCUUUGUUAUUAUCUGUCUCCUAUAUCCUACUUGUCUAUAUUACUUUCAUUCGGUUCGUCUUGUGACAUGUAAAACAGAUGUUUAAGUACAGUAUUUCUACAGAAUCACUCCUAGUGUGGCUACGAAAUUAUUUCUGGCUACAAAAUCAUAAUUCUUGCUUUGAUGGCGGGUGAAAUCUACUAUUAUCCCCUAUCGAUAUGCGCUCGUUCCUUUCCAUGUUAAUGUAGUAUGUGUGUGUUAAUUAUUAGUUUUUCUUAGUCUGUAUGUCCCUUCUGGAUGUCUGGCAUCUUACUGAUCGGUGUUUUCGUUCCAUUUUUGGUUGGAUCUCUUUAUGAUUUAGUGCAUCGCUGGAGUGGCGUGAAAAGAGUUCUUGGCUUUUUGGUGUCAGGUGGAACAAGGUGUUUUGACCUUCAGUCGGAAGCAAAGAUGAGGUCGAUCAUUUCUAGUGGGAUCCCUCUUCUUUCAAGGCUUAACCAGAGGGUUGAAUUCACUUUGUACAAUUUCUGCCCGAAGCGGGGAUGAUAACAUUGCUCGAGGGCUCGAUCGGGAUAGAGUGAUAGCUGGUGAGAUUUGAUCUCAUGACUGGAUUCAUUCAUGGAGACCAUAAGCCAUAUUGUCUGGUCCUCAGAUUGCACCCAAGCUGAUUCAGAGGAACUAAGAUAGGGAGUCUGAUGGCAGGAGUUGGAGUUAAGACUCAUUAGAUCUAUGAGAAACUCGCGGAUGUUGCCCUCAUUGCAAUCAACUUGGCUUCCAUUGACUAAUAAGACACCUUUUGGCACUAUGAGAGUUCUUGCAGUGUUCUCAUGAAACUCAAGAGAUGACAGUGUCAAUGUUAUCUCUGUGGUGGUCAUGGUCUCUAGGGGGUCCACUGUUUUGUGAAUUACAACAGGUUUUUGCGGGAAAAUAUGUGAUCUCAGGAUGGUGGUGAGAGCCACAUUACAUUGGGCGGUUGUUAGGUAGGCUGUCUGAGUUGUUUUGGGGCCUUCUUCUAACUCCAUCUUCCUGUUGAUGGAGGCGUAUCCUGAUCUCUUUUCUACCGCCCAUUUUUGAUACGGUUUCAAAUCAUCUCGAGAGAUUCGUUUCCAAAAUAUUAUGUCAACAUGAGUCUUUCCUAGAACUAGUCGUGUUGAAGGGACUACAAUCCUAAGGAAAAGAAUAAGUAAUACUGCUGUCUGCAUGGAGAUCCGCAAUCGAUGCAUCCUCUUCGACAAAGCUUGGAAUGCCUUCUGGUUGGAUAACAAUGUAGCAAUUGGCACAAUGUUAGGUUUGUCAGAGCUUCAUCUGUUGCUGAGAUGUUCCCCCAAAGUUGGCAAUCUUCUCCCACGACACUGGGUUGGGAGCUCCAGAUCGCGUAAGACUCUGCUCGAUUGAGAUACCUGAAUUUUUCCUCUUCUACUUUGACUUUGAGAAUAGGGCAACAAAUUAGUGAGAUCCCUAGAGAGUCCCGCAGUUUGCAGAGUUCGGAGCUAAUCAGAGCGAGAUGAGGAGGCCUUCCAGGGAUGUCGACAGGAAGUUUUCUGAUGGAGAGUGAUGGGCCUUUGUGAUGUUCUAGGCUCCAAUGGCUUGUGGAUGUGUUAUCAACAGGCAGUUCCCUUGCCCAAGUGCUGUCCAAUAAGGGCAGGAAAAGGAUCCAAAACAGUCUCAUAAGACUUGGCUGGAGAGACAAUAGUUGAUUAUUAAAGUUUUUUAUAAAUCGGUAUUAUAACCUUCAACCUCCCCCAUGCGGAGGAUAAAGACAGUCUCCUUAUAUGUGACGGACCAGGCUUGAAGGGAUUCCGUGAGCGUCUGGUGGAAGUUGAUACAGAUGAGUCGGACUUGAUUGUAGGGGUUUCUGUGGCUGUGGAUACUGAUGAACCUGGACAUGACGAAGUACCCAGCAAAUGUGACGACAGGAGUUCCUGUCAAAAUCUUUGAUAGUGCGCGUCUUCUUCUUCUUGGCGUCCUAUGACCCCCCGUGGGGGAAAGGGCAGACACAACGGUUCUCCAUCUCAGUCUGUCGACGGCAGCGAGCUUCACGUGGUCCAGGCCACGUCAUCUCCGCGUCCUGCAUCUCGUCAUGAAAGUGUGCAUCACUGAAAAUAUAAUACCUAAAUGGCCAUUAGAAUUGAAUUACGUUCACCCUAGAUAACACAGUACACAGUCAUGCAUGCACUAUAAUACCACAAUAUAUUAUAAUAUAAUGAGCUCUUACUUAAAAGAGCUAUGAUAUAAGUAAAGCUAUCGAUGUUAACUGUUAUUUGUCACACCAGAGUAAAAGUUCUUACUGUACCUUAGUUAAUGAAAAAUAAAUAAAUAAUGAUUAUUAUUAAUAAGCACACUAUACAGAAUUCUUGAAUCAGAAUAUAGGCUAAGAAUUUUGUAAGAAAAAAAAAAUUAAUUUAGAAAUACCAUUGUGAUCUUAAUCAUACCUACUUAUAACAAUAAUAAACAAUAUAAAAUAAUUUAACAUGAUUGUGUUGAUGUAGUUUCUAAUGUGGAUUUGUAUAAAAUAAAAUAAAUUUGUCUUGGCA